UACGUGAGAGGCAAGCGUUAUUCGUCAUUAAUGGGUCUAAAGGGUACGUAGGCGGUAUAGUAAAUCUUUUCUUUAAAAACACCUAGGAGUGGAUCUGAUAAUGCUAAACUAGAGUCAAAGGGAGUAACAAUUACUUUGAGUGGAAUAUUUCGAAUAUCUAGAUUCUCAAGGGGAUGCGAAACGGCGAAAGGCGUGUUACUAUAAAAGACUGACGCUAGGUACGAAGCUAGGGUAUCGAUCGGGA
rnacentral:rRNA from 1 species